UACGUAGGUGGCAAGCGUUGUCCGGAAUUAUUGGGCGUAAAGCGCACGCAGGCGGUCUGUUAAGUUUGACGUGAAAGCUCCCGGCUUAACUGGGAGAGGUCGUUGAAGACUGGCAGACUUGAGGCGAUGAGAGGGGUGUAGAAUUCCCGGUGUAGUGGUGGAAUGCGUAGAUAUCGGGGGGAAUACCAGUGGCGAAAGCGGCACCCUAGCGUUAGCCUGACGCUCAUGUGCGAAAGCGUGGGGAGCGAACUGG
rnacentral:rRNA from 1 species